UAGGGAAUCUUCCACAAUGGACGCGAGUCUGAUGGAGCAACGCCGCGUGAGUGAAGAAGGUCUUCGGAUCGUAAAGCUCUGUUGUUGGUGAAGAAGGAUAGAGGCAGUAACUGGUCUUUAUUUGACGGUAAUCAACCAGAAAGUCACGGCUAACUACGUGCCAGCAGCCGCGGUAAUACGUAGGUGGCAAGCGUUGUCCGGAUUUAUUGGGCGUAAAGCGAGCGCAGGCGGAAUGAUAAGUCUGAUGUGAAAGCCCACGGCUCAACCGUGGAACUGCAUCGGAAACUGUCAUUCUUGAGUGCAGAAGAGGAGAGUGGAACUCCAUGUGUAGCGGUGGAAUGCGUAGAUAUAUGGAAGAACACCAGUGGCGAAGGCGGCUCUCUGGUCUGCAACUGACGCUGAGGCUCGAAAGCAUGGGUAGCGAACAGGAUUAGAUACCCUGGUAGUCCAUGCCGUAAACGAUGAGCGCUAGGUGUUGGGGACUUUCCGGUCCUCAGUGCCGCAGCAAACGCAUUAAGCGCUCCGCCUGGGGAGUACGACCGCAAGGUUGAAAC
rnacentral:rRNA from 1 species